rnacentral:rRNA from 1 species
AAGUAGAACGCUGAAGGGAGAGCUUGCUCUUCUGGAUGAGUUGCGAACGGGUGAGUAACGCGUAGGUAACCUGCCUGGUAGCGGGGGAUAACUAUUGGAAACGAUAGCUAAUACCGCAUAACAGUAGAUGUUGCAUGACAUUUGCUUAAAAGGUGCAAUUGCAUCACUACCAGAUGGACCUGCGUUGUAUUAGCUAGUUGGUGGGGUAACGGCUCACCAAGGCGACGAUACAUAGCCGACCUGAGAGGGUGAUCGGCCACACUGGGACUGAGACACGGCCCAGACUCCUACGGGAGGCAGCAGUAGGGAAUCUUCGGCAAUGGACGGAAGUCUGACCGAGCAACGCCGCGUGAGUGAAGAAGGUUUUCGGAUCGUAAAGCUCUGUUGUAAGAGAAGAACGAGUGUGAGAGUGGAAAGUUCACACUGUGACGGUAUCUUACCAGAAAGGGACGGCUAACUACGUGCCAGCAGCCGCGGUAAUACGUAGGUCCCGAGCGUUGUCCGGAUUUAUUGGGCGUAAAGCGAGCGCAGGCGGUUAGAUAAGUCUGAAGUUAAAGGCUGUGGCUUAGCCAUAGUACGCUUUGGAAACUGUUUAACUUGAGUGCAAGAGGGGAGAGUGGAAUUCCAUGUGUAGCGGUGAAAUGCGUAGAUAUAUGGAGGAACACCGGUGGCGAAAGCGGCUCUCUGGCUU